rnacentral:lncRNA from 12 species
AAGCAAGGUAGGUUCCCAUCAGGAAAUGGCCAGGGAAGAUCAGGGCAGAGCGAAAAUGCCAGAGUUUAUGGGAACACACUUUUAAGGCCAAGUCAAACAAUCAAGGUGGCUCUGGAGGCCAGAAUCUAUCUUCCCAAGAGGCAAUACGUUCCCUGUCUUCAGGAGUCCACCAAUACAACUCAGAUUAUUUUAGGAAACUGGUCUGCUGCUCAGCAGAAAAGCCCCACUGGCUGCCGUUUUUUCUUUUUUGGUGGUAAUGUAGAUUAUUGCAGGAGCAAUAUGGCCACGGUGCUGGAUUUUGAGCAAGAUGACCACAAGAUGACAAGAGAGGAGCUUUUAGAUCUUCAACCAGACACCUGCCAGAAGUACCUUUAACAUGCAAACUAGCCAAGGGAGUUUGCCGGCUUCUAGUCACCAUCAAAGCAGAGAACCUGAAGAAAGAUCCCACACAUCUUCCAGGCACUGCCCCUGAGCUAUCCCUAAUGAAGAGUCAGGAAAACCAGGUUAGAGAAUUAUGUGUUUCCUAAGGAAGGUUGGGCUGUUGUUCACUUACAGUCACUCGAAA